rnacentral:rRNA from 1 species
CUACGGGAGGCAGCAGUGAGGAAUAUUGGACAAUGGGCGCAAGCCUGAUCCAGCCAUGCCGCGUGCAGGAUGACGGUCCUAUGGAUUGUAAACUGCUUUUGUACAGGAAGAAACAGUUCUACGUGUAGAACCUUGACGGUACUGUAAGAAUAAGGAUCGGCUAACUCCGUGCCAGCAGCCGCGGUACUACGGAGGAUCCAAGCGUUAUCCGGAAUCAUUGGGUUUAAAGGGUCCGUAGGCGGUUUAGUAAGUCAGUGGUGAAAGCCCAUCGCUCAACGGUGGAACGGCCAUUGAUACUGCUAGACUUGAAUUAUUAGGAAGUAACUAGAAUAUGUAGUGUAGCGGUGAAAUGCUUAGAGAUUACAUGGAAUACCAAUUGCGAAGGCAGGUUACUACUAAUGGACUGACGCUGAUGGACGAAAGCGUGGGUAGCGAACAGGAUUAGAAACCCGUGUAGUCCU